AUUUAUAUAGUAUAAAUAUUAUAAUUGAUUUCCAAUCAAAAGAUCUAUGUUAAUUAGUAUAAAUA
rnacentral:tRNA from 1 species